GGUCUUCCCUUCCAAACCACAGAACAAGGUCAGAGAGGUGGAGGGAGGAGAAAAGUGCUUCCAGGAAGAGGCUCGGCUGGCACCAUGACAGGUUUUCUGUGGAUACUGGAAAUCAGCUUCUCCAUAACCUCUCUGGAUGGAGCACCGCCCCUGCCACCACGCCCCUCCCCAGGUCUGCAGGAACCUCAGCAGGGUGAGCAUGAGGAGGGCAGCCGACAGAACCCCUCGGAGAGUUCAGACUCCAGGGAUAUGGAAAGCAAAGACACCCCAGAGGAGCCAGGACCCUUCCUGCCCACGCCCAGCAUCCAGGACACCUCCCUGCUUCACGCAGAAGGCAGGAGUCUGCUCAGCUUCCAGAAGUGGAUGUGCAGAAUGAGGGGCAGGGUCUGGGAAUGCCUGUCACAGCUGUGUCCCCAAAACCACACUUCCCCACCCCAGCCUGCAAGAUGAAGGGCUCCUAAGAUCCCCAGAUGAAAGGCCCGGGUGAGCCCAGCCACCAUCAACACCAGCCCUGGGCUUUUAUUCUCUGAUUGGGGCUUGCCUAAUCCACUAAUUAUCCCUGUCCAUCUCGGCGAUGACAGCCUGGGGGAUAAUCAAUGGUUGCCUCCUUGCCCACCCGCCCUCACCCACUUGCCCAAGCACACCAGCAAUAAACACGCCAAUGAAAAGGAAGACCUAAUCACAAAAGGUGCUCCGACCAGCCCUCGCACAAGGCUCCAUUUGUAACAACAAGACGCUUUCAGUCAAGGGCAUCCAGUGCUUCCUUCACCCACCCACGAGGUCUGACGCCCAGGCUGUAUUCUGACAUAUGGGCGUGUCUCCCUUAAAAUUUUAACAACUAAACAAUUAUGGCAACCCGA